CCUACGGGAGGCAGCAGUGAGGAAUAUUGGUCAAUGGACGAGAGUCUGAACCAGCCAAGUAGCGUGAAGGAUGACUGCCCUAUGGGUUGUAAACUUCUUUUAUAUGGGAAUAAAAUGUUCCACGUGUGGGAUUUUGUAUGUACUAUAUGAAUAAGGAUCGGCUAACUCCGUGCCAGCAGCCGCGGUAAUACGGAGGAUCCGAGCGUUAUCCGGAUUUAUUGGGUUUAAAGGGAGCGUAGGUGGAUUGUUAAGUCAGUUGUGAAAGUUUGCGGCUCAACCGUAAAAUUGCAGUUGAAACUGGCAGUCUUGAGUACAGUAGAGGUGGGCGGAAUUCGUGGUGUAGCGGUGAAAUGCUUAGAUAUCACGAAGAACUCCGAUUGCGAAGGCAGUUCACUGAACUGCAACUGACACUGAGGCUCGAAAGUGUGGGUAUCAAACAGGAUUAGAUACCCCUGUAGUC
rnacentral:rRNA from 1 species